AUGUCUGGCAUGAAUCGCUGUUUUUAGGUCAUGCUACAGCAUCUCAAUGGGGUACAAGUCUGGACUUUGGCUUUGCCAUUGCAGAAUUUUGUUCUUCUGAAACCAUUCUGAAGUUGAUGACCUCUGUGUUUAGGAUCAUUUUUUUGUUGCAGCAUCCUCUUUUUAGCUUCAACUGUCUGACAGACGGCUUCAGGUUUUCCUGCAAAACAUUCUGAUAAACUUCUGAAUUCAUGCUUCCAUGAAUGAUUGCAAGUUGUCCAGGCCUUGAGGCAACAAAACAGCCCAAAAUCAUGAUGCUCAAUAUUUUGCCAAAACUACUGUGGAGUGUCCGAGUGUCUUUUCGCGAACAUUAAACGAGCAACAAUGUUUUUUAAGACAGCACUGACUUCCUCUGUGGAGUCCUCCCAUGAACACCAUUCUUGGCCAAAGUUUUACAUGUACUUGAUGUGUGCACAGAAAUAUUGGACUGUGCCAAGUCUUUAGCAGACACUCUAGGGUUCUUUUUUUUACCUCUCUGAGUAUUCUGCGCUCAACUCUUGGCGUCAUCUUUGGUGGACGGCCACUCCUUGGGAGAGAAGCACCAGUUCCAAACUCUCCAUUUGUAGACAACUUCUUUGACUGUCGAUUGAUGAACAUCCUGACUUUUAGAGAUGGUUUUGUAUCCUCUCCCAGAUCAAUACAAAUUUAAAAUCCUUGAUCGCAGGUCUUCAGGCAGCUCUUUUGACUGAGCCAUAUUGCACAUCAGACAAUGCUUCUCAUCAAGACAAUUCUUACCAGGUCUGUGGUUGAUAGUGGGCAGGUUAGUUUUAAACUACUUAUCAGUGAUUGGGCACACACCUGACUUAAAUUGUUUGGUAAAAAUUAGGCAGAAGGUUCACUUAUUUUUCCCCUUCUGUCAUUUUUGCAUGUUAUCCUCAUUAAAAUAUGAAAACCUUUAUAAGUCGCAACGGAAUAUUAGCCAUGUCUAUGUAUUGACCACCGGGCUAUCCAGGUAAAUCAAUCGGGUAGUUGUCACAUCGCUUUUUUUUUUUUUUUUUUUUGCUGUUGUCUUGCUGUUUUGAAUACCUGCAGAUUCUCCCUGAUCCGAUGGGGAGUCACCGAUUUGGCAACAACCGUCACGUUCCUCUGAAUGUGGAACCUGAUGAGAACCUGGUGAUACGAUACGGCGUUAUGGAAGCGAAUGCUCUUUAAAUUGCACUGCAGUGUGUUACCUGUGCUGCCGUCUUGCCGUACUUUCUAGAAAUUUCUUUGACUUUUGGCUCAGCCAUGAGCGAAGGUUCACCAGAAAAUGCCCUUCACAAGUAGAAAAAAUCGAUUGUCACACGUGGAAUGUGUAGUCACAAGACAAUUUUCUGGAAAAUCAAUGCUAAAUGUGUUUGUUUCAAGCUGCUGUGGUGCUUUUUUUAGAUUUGAAGCUGUUUGGAUUUCAGGAUUAUUUUGUCCAAGGGCGUACAGUAGGUUUGCAUAGGGACGGUAGGGACAUAACACUACCAACUUUUCAGGAUGCUCAAAUGAUCCCCACCAACUUUUAAGCAACCUUAUUUGCAUUUAUCAUGACUUCAGUUAUAUAGGUCAUUUAGAUUGUCUUCCUAUAUGCUGUAGGGAUAGAAUUGACCCUACCAUUAUUAAGUGAAUUGCAGUACUUUCAUUAUGUUCAGACUUACACUGACCCCUUUUCACUCGCUGAAUGUGCCAGUCCAUUUUUUUCAAUCAAACGCACGUUUAAUUGGCUGAUGACUUGAACCCCCACCCACCCACACACACAGGCAUUCACAGCCCGACAGAAAUACAACAUGCCGCCUCCCCCGCCCCCUUCGAAGACAAGGGAUAUUAGAAGUUUUUUCCACCAGCAGCAGCCACUGUAAGUAGUGUAAAAAGACGUCAAUGUUGUGGAGGUGGGAACACACAACUAAUUUUGCUUCUGCUACGGUGCUUCAAGUCGAUUUUACUCGCUUAGAUUUCUUGAAAUAAAAACAGCUAGCUGAAAAUAAGCUUAAGACUUAUUUUAAGCAAAAAAGUUGGCAUAUUUAGUCUUAAAAGAAAAACUUGUUCGUCAGAAAUGUUCUUAAUUCAAGAAUAUUGUUCAAAACAUUAUUUGAAAGAAUUUUUUUUCUUGAUUUAAGUGAAAAAUGGCCAACUUUUAGAUGUAUGGGCUCAAUACGAACAAAUAGUAAUAUUUAGUUAUAGUAAGUGGAAGAAUCUGACGCAUUAAUCUGUUAACUAGCCUUUAACACUCAAAAAAAAAGAUGGCAGAAAAUUAUUUGAUUAGGUUUUAUUAAAUUAUUAUAUAAAUUUGCAGUGUAAAGGUUGGUAUGGGUCAAUGCAGAUUUAUUUUGCAUUGAUCACUUAGCCUAUCAAUUAUUUCGGUUCAUAUAGGUGAGAAAUGUAGCCCUGACCCCCAUUCACCAAGCAAGAAGUGGACAUGCAGGUUAUGCUGUUAUAUUGUCCCUAUAAUAUUAAGAACAAACCUACGCUCUUUAUUUUGUCUGUGACAUUUUGUCUUACCAGGGUCUCUCAGGCGAUCCCAGCGGACUAUAAGCUGUAACGAAGAUGCCCCUCAAGUGGCAGUAAUUGAUCAACUUCUCCUGGAUCAGGAACGGGUGGCACUCGAUCUAUAAACAUACGAAUUUAAAUGAACUGCUGAGAUUAGCGGUAUUUCCACAUUCCUUUGAUUACCUGAUUGAUGGCCGGCUUGUACUUGAGGCCCGGCUUUUUGAGAAUGGCAUCGAUUUGGUCCUUGUUGAAGUUGGACACACCGAUAGCCUUGACCAAACCGGAGUCCACAAGCUCCUCCAUGGCCUGUACAAUGAACAUUAGUACCGUAUCGUGCAUAAUUUCUGGUUCUAUUCUUUGCUACCAGCUGCUCCGAUUACCUCCCAAGUGUCAAGGAAACUGCUACCAUCAGGGAUGACUUGCUCGUGCUCAUCCAAUGGAAAAAGCUCGUCCCCAGCCUGCAAAAUUAAACAAUUUUGCUGGAAUAUUUUCCUGAUUUAUUUUGAGAAAAGAGGGAUAACCUUGGCACCCAUUGGGAAGUGCAUGAGGUAGAGGUCCAAGUAAUCCAAUCUAAGGUUUUGUAGAGUCUUUUCACAGGCUUUCCUCACCAAAGACGGUAGAUGGAAGGUGCACCAUAACUGCAGAAAACAAUCAGCCAUAACACAAAAACCUAAAACUCAAAAAUGUGAAUUCAAACCCUGGUUGGUCAUAUAUGGUAUACCUUACUGACAAUGAACAGCUCCUCCCUCUCCACCUCGCCGUUCUCAACUACGGUUUGAAUUCCAGCACCGACUUCGUCCUCGUUCUGGUACACAUGUGCAGCGUCAAUGUGGCGGUAGCCAGCGCCAAUUGCCACUUUCACCGCCUCGAUGACUGUUCCUGCGUCAGCCUGUUGUCAGAGGAUGUUAAAGCAGAAUACUUUCAGCUGUGAGACGUUUGAGGGGUUUCUUGCAUGUACAGCCCGUUUCACUCCACAGCAAUUGGAUUAAGAUCUGGGCUUUGACGCCAUUCCAGGACUCUCCAUUUCUUCCUUUUCAGCCAGUCGUUGGUGGAUUUCAGAUGAUCACACAUCUUCCUCAAGCACCCUCUGAUACACGAUAGAAUUCAUUGUGGAUUCUAUGAUGGGGAGCUGGCCAGGUCCUGUUGAAGCAAAGCAUCCCCAAACCAUGACACUUUCCACCUCCAUGCUUCACAGUUGAUUCAUCUGUCCGAAGAACAUUAAUCCAGAAGUCCUGGUCUUUUUCUACAUUCACUCUGGCAAACUUCAGUCUGGCCUUUAUGUUGUUCUUGGAGAGCAAAGGUUUCCUCCUUGCACACCUCUCAUGAAGGUUGCAAGAGCCGACUGUAGGUCCCGUGAUGACAUUUUAGGGGUUUUGGAGACUUCUUUUAGCAUCUUGCGGUCUGCUCUGGGUUGAACGUGCUUGGACGGCUAGACCUGGGGCAUGCCCUCCACUUGUAAACUAUUUUCUACAGACAGUAGAAAGGCUGAUUUUAUAUUCUUUUGAAAUCCCUUACCAGACUCAUAAGCGUCGACAAUCUUCUUUCUGAAGGCCUCAGACAGCUCUUUUGAUCUCACUAUGGUGUUUUCUCUCACUUCAACAGUCAGGGGCGCACCAAACUAUGAUCUCAACAUGGUGUUUUCUCUCACUUCAACAGUCAGGGUCACACCAAACCAAAUGUGAGGUUGAAAUAAGGCAAGCCUCCUUCAAAACACUGGGUAAUGAUGUUCUAAUCAUGUGCAACUGAUAUGAUACACCUGUGUGUGAUUUUAGCCAUGUCAUUGCAUUGAUUUAAAAUUAACUUUUACACAAAGUAACAAUUUUUUUUCACAUGACUGUACAUUUCGGAAGUUUUUAUUAGAAUAGUAGCCAAAGUAACAUUUUGAUUGUACUCUUAUCCAAAACUACUGUUUUGGUCGGCUUACUAUCUAGUUUUAGCAGGUAGAAUGUAUGUUUUACGGGGUUUAAUUCUGGACAAUCUAAAACUCCACAUUUACUAGAAUGACGGUACUCGUUUCGUCUGUAGGGUUUAAGUUUGGGGACUGACUUGACAAAUAACUUGUUUUUGUCAGUAUGCUAAUGUCUAUUUUUUGAUACUGUACAUUAACCCCAACAAUUCUAGGUUCCCUAAUAAACUUUUUCCACCACUGGAAACAUUUUUACAGGUUUCAACGCUUAAAUCGUUCAUUGUCUGCUCAGUUACAAUAAUAUAAACAUCUCGUUUCCUCACUAAGCUAUUGAAUUUAAAAAGCCUACAAAUUACCUUCUAUCUUAAAAAAAAACAACCGUUCAUACAUUUUGGAGGCUUUAAUAGUUUAGUACCCAAAUUUCCAGACUUACCCUCCAUGUCCCAAGUCCAACAAAAGGCAUCUUAGCUCCAUUGUUGAGCGUAAUAGCAGGAAUCUCGAUCUUCUUCCCCUUCAUUUCUGUGGCCAAAAUAUCUGGAAGGAAGGAUUCCAUAAUAUACUCAUCAUGUGUGGCUCUAUAUAUCCGCCAGAGAAGGGCUGCUGACCCAGAGGCGGAGAUUUUAGUCAUUUAAACGGUGCAUUAUGCGCAUGAAACUUUGCUGUAGUUUCAGACUAAUGUUGAUUCCACCCCAGCAAAAAUGAUGGAAUCACCAGUCUCAAAAGAAAUUUAUUUCUGAACUUUGUAUGGAAAAUGCACAAAAAAAAUGCUGAAAAGUAUUUUUGAAAAACAAAACUUAUUUAUCCUGGGUCUCAUUUUAAGAUACAAAAUGAAUGACAUUUUUUUUUCUAAAUGCCACUAAUUUGUUGAAAUUUCUAUCUGAACCCUGCCCAUGACAAACCCUUCAACCCAGAGAUUGAGGGACGAAACCGUGGAACCUUACACGUGCGCAAAGAAUUUUCACGACAUUACAUUAUAUUAGCAAUCCAUUAUAUUGACAAUCCACUUGCAAUUCAAAUUCCAAACCAGCAGCACACGGUCAGUGCAUUGAUGUUCAUGGCAAUUUGACAGGGUGAAUGUACUAAGACAAAAGAAUGACACAUCGCAGAUUAACAAGGUCAAAGGAGUACGUGGAGUAUUUUAAUUUGAGUCAGUUCUGCGUCUGACUGAUUUCAACCAAUAUAGCAAAGUCAUUGUUUUGACCCUACCAUUGUAGGGUAACAAUAGAUCUAUUGUCGUAUACAUUUACAGCAGUGACAGCGAAUGAAACCCACCGAAAUUGUUUUUAAUCCAUAAACUAUAAAGCCUUGUCUUAGGCUCACCCUCAACCAGACGGCGUACCGGCCGGGAUAAACUUUUCAGGCGGAACUGUCAAAACCCCAUGUUUGAACAAAACCCAGCCACGCCACACGCGCAUCUCCAAUACGAACA